rnacentral:misc_RNA from 1 species
AGAGGUCAGAGCAUAGC